UUUUGUACCUGAAAGCAUCUCUUCUUUUAGAGUUGAAAGAAACUUGAAUUCGGGACAACAUGUUCUGAAAAAGCUCAUGAAAAAUAUACAAGCGAACAGAGAAUGGAGGGUUUCAGUCGGUUUAAAAUAUUCUGGUUCAACCAUGUUCUUUUUAUUGAGAAAAGCUGCUAAAUUCCAUGUGACUCUGGGAUAACUAAAUAUCUAGUGGUUUUUCCAUUACAAAAGUGGAAGGCUGCUCUCUUGAUGCUUUUGCACUCAACUGAGAUGGUUGAACCAGCAUCUCAUCAUGGAUUACAUUUGGUAUUUUUUUGAAUACCAAUUUGAGGUGGGAAAAUGAUCUCAUGUGAACUAUUUGUUCAGUCCCUGCUAAACUGUUUUUUUGCAAUGCAGUCCCUUGAAAGAUUGAGCCUUGUUUCCAAGGUUUAAAAGUCAAAACUUUUUUGCAUUG